rnacentral:rRNA from 1 species
ACCAUNUGCUAAAUGACCGAGACUGCCCUCUGCGCAUGAUGAGUGGGAGGCGGGAAGUUGUUCAAACUUGAUCAUUUAGAGGAAGUAAAAGUCGUAACAAGGUUUCCGUAGGUGAACCUGCGGAAGGAUCAUUACCGUUAGGCUUCAGAUCGAUUGAGAAAUCGAUUGGACUAACUACCGUGUGAACUAUCUGAAAGACUCAUUAGGGGUCGGGCCUGUCCCGUUAAAAGGAGAGCACCGUAGUCUUUAGAAGGUUGGUUUAGAAAGCGUKCGGGUUUUGCCCSCUGGCUUGCUGGCUGACUGACUUACUGACUGGCGGUGGGCUCCUGCCCCGACAGUGUUUUUUUUUGCCACACAUUUGUUUUGAAAGACUGAGCACAGUGAGAUGAAAGAGAAAAAAAAAAGUGUGACAACUUUUGACGGUGGAUCUCUAGGCUCACGCAUCGAUGAAGAACGCAGCCAGCUGCGAUAAGUAGUGUGAAUUGCAGAAUUCAGUGAAUCAUCGAAUCUUUGAACGCAAAUGGCGCUCUUGGGUUCUCCCAGGAGCAUGUCUGUCAUGAGUGUCUUUUUUUGAACAUGCAAUGACAUUCGCACGAUCGUCGUGCGGCGUGCGGUUCGAGGUUCGUGGCCUUGAACUGUAAACGUAAGUGUUAGGCCGCGUGCCUUGAAAUGCAGGAGCAAGAAGGGCUAGAGGUCCGGCGCAGUCGCAUGCGGAUUCAGUUGUUGUGCCGCAGGCGACGGCAAGCCUAACCCUAAGACCCUCCUCUCCAUCGUGACUACUAGGCUUUGCUUCCACCCUCUGACCUCAGGUCUUGUUAUCACGU